rnacentral:lncRNA from 1 species
GAGGUGAUUCUAUGUCCUAAGCGUAUCAUAUUGGGGGCUGAAUGAUGUCCACUUGUUCUGUAACUGAUGAUGCUUAUUUUUUAUUCUUUUUAAUACAUGACAGUAGAGUAUAUAUUGACAUAUUAUACAUCCAGGGGGUACAACUUACUCUAAUUAGGGUCCCAUUCUUGUGGUUGUACCUGAUAUGGAGUUUCACUGGUGGUUGAUAAUGUUUAUUUAUACAAACAGUACAGGAGGACACCAGCCCAGGUGGACAGUAGCCCAAGGGACACCAUACACCUUUACUCUGGAUCCUUACUGGGGGCCUGGGUCCUGUUGGAAGUCUGAAGAGGAGCUGCAGCUGCAACCUGGGACUGAGUCUUGGUUUGAGCCUUUGCUUUGACCUUUGCCUGGCAGAUCCUGAGACUUUAGCAACGUGGGCACAAACACACUUCCCAAGCUUGGGUAGGAGAGUUGAUGGUGCUUGCAGCUGGCACCCUUGUCCCCAUUGGGCUAAGGGCCCCAUAGCCUCGGCACAUGCUCUCAUAGCCUUGGUCUUGCUUGCCUGCCUCUGCUUUCGGCCCUUCUUGUAUUUCUUGGCUAAAUGCAUGUUCCUCAGGAACUUGGGCUCUACCCUCUUCAGAAACUCUUAACUUUGUAAUUGGGUUUUUGACACCAUUUCUGUACCAUUUUCAGGACUGGUUGUAUUUGGUUGGUUUUUGGACUUGGCCACCAUAACCCACAGCUCCUGAAGUACCUGGGAGGGUAUCCCAUAUGCUUUAGCAGCCACUCCCUAUCCUCCAGCCCUGACAACCAUUAACCAAUUUUUUGUUUCUGUGGAUUUGCCUAUUCUGGAUAUUUUGUGAAAAUGGAAUCAUGUAAUGUGUGAACUCUCAAGUCUGGCUUCUUUCUCUUGGCAAAGUUCAUCCAUAUUUUAGUACAUAUCAGUACUUCGCUUUUUUUGCCAAAUAAUAUUUCAUUUGUUAUGGUUAAUUUUAUGAGUAAACAGAGAUGCUAUUUUACACCUACUAUAAUGAGAAGCAUUUAAAAACUUGACAUCAAGAGUUGGUGAGGAGGGGCUGGGGUUGUGGCUCAGCGGUAAGCAUUCGCCUAGUACUUGCGAGGCCCUGGGUUCGAUCCUCAGCACCACAUAAAAAAAAAAUCAAUAAAUAAAAUAAAGGUAUAAAAAAUUAAGAAUCCUUUAAAAAAAGAGUUGGGGGGAGGUGGAAAAGAAGGAAUUCUCAUACACUGCAAUUGUCAGUGUAAAUUAGAAUAACCACAUCAGACUUGGGCCCAUGCCUAUAAUCCCAGCUACUGGGAGAUUAUGGCUGGAGCAUUGCAAAUGUGAGGUCAGCCUUAGCAAUUUAGUCAGGCUCUGUCUCAAAAUAAAAAAUAAAAAUGGCUGGGGCUGUAGUUCAGUGGUAGAGCACUUGCCUACACACCUGGGUUUGAUUCCUGGGCUUGAUCCUUACCAAGUAUCCAUUUGGAAAAAAAAAAAAUGGUAGGGUUUAUUCCCUACCAACAAGCAGAGGAACAAAAAGAAAAACCACAUCAGAAAACUGGCAUUACCUUACAAAGUUGAUGCAAUACCCAAAUGUUCAUCAACAGAGUAAUAUACCCUCUGUAAAAGUAAGUCAUACACACAGAGAUACUUUUUAUUUGUAUAAAUCAUACCACUUGUAUAAAAUUCAAAAUAUGAAAGGUAAAUAUGUUAUUAUAAAUAAAUGCAAUGAGCCAGGUGUGGUGGCACACACCUGUAAUUCCAGUGGCUCAGAAGGCUGAGGCGGGCAGAUUGCAAAUUUGAGACAAGCCUCAGCAACUCAGUAAGGCCCUUACUAAGCAACUUAGUGAGACCCUGUCUCAAAAUAAAAAAUAAAAAUGGG